UUUGGAAGAGAAAUUUUCCUAAUUGAUAUAAAUUAAUAAUACUUGUAAAUACUUGGGAGAUCGGUUGGUUUUGUGAAUAAUGUGUUUGAGAUAUUGCAUGGAUUAAAUGAAUUGUUUCGAGAGAAAGGACGCAGUUUCUCUGGAAAAAGUAAAAGUUGCAGGUAAAAAAUGACGAAAGAAAAAAUGAGAAAAAGAUGCAAAAAGAAAAAUAAAAAAUAUUUUUAAGAAGACAAAAUGUGAAAAGUGGCGAGGAUUUUAAAUUGGCACAUAGGAUGGAACAUAGGAUUUACUAGAGUGACAAUAGAUAAAAUAUGGUGGUAUAAUACCUAGACAUAGAGUGAAAAGAAUUGAUUUCCAAUUUCGGCAACCAAACCUAGCUUACGUGGUUCGCAUUUUCAUAUCACAGAAUCGUUUAAAAUAUAGCGAAGAGAAUAUAAAGGUAAAAUUGAAUUCAGCAUUCUGUUAUAUUUCAAACGCAAACCAAUAUUUGUUGCACAGAUUUGUUUAACAAUCAAUUCAAAUAAUGCAGUUUUGCGGAUAACAAUACGGCUUCCGACUGUGCAUUGGCUGUUACACUAGCGCGAAGCUAUUCAAUUUAUCUAUAGAAAAGAUAUCAUGUCCAACAUGGUGAUCAAGAAAUUAAAAUCGAAGAGGAAAUUGAGGGAAAGCUAUUAAACUUUAAACUACAGAGAGAAGCACUCAUACGAUCCUAGUAAUAAUUCGACGUGGUUAAAUACCAAUCAGGAAAAUUUAGCAACGACCGGUUUAUCGGAUCGUUCUAAACGUAGAACUGUUCUUCGAACUUCUAGAGCAGAAAAGAAAAUUGCCUGCAUAUACCGGUUGCGAGCAAAUUUCAAGCGCCUUUUCCAAACGCGAAAUAUUCACGUCAGCUUGAACGAAACAGGAUCGAGAGAAGUGAGAGGCGGCGUGCUUAUAGUAUGUAUAUGGUGGCGCGAUCUUAUGCAAUCUCAUGAUAGGAAUCAUGGGUCAGUCACUUGGUCGGCUCAUGGUGCUUCCAUGCGUUAUGAUUCUCCAGCCAGGAAGAAAAACUGUCGUACGGCAGAUACCUAUGUCUUCGAUAAAAGCUAUGUCCUAAUAACAGCUCGCAAUUCUUUGAGUAGAACUUAAUGAAAAGAUAUUAAUAGAAGCGUUAUAUAACGGUAUAACAUCGUCUACUACAACUACCGCAUUAUUAUAGUUAGUAGAAUAUCAUUAUUAAGUGUAUGACUUUUCCCGUUUUGCCAGAAAACUAGCGUUUACGGAUUCCACUAUUGGCAUAAAUGAUACAUAAUGGUAAUAGUACAGUACAUGAUUGCUGAUGGAAGAAAGAUGAUGGCAGUUGGAAUUAUAGAAAUUAGAGUAUGGCAUAUAUUGCAUGGAUGAAUAUGGAAUAUGAUUUGGAGAGGUUAAGAUAACGAGAAUGCGGGUGAUUAGAUCUGAUGUUGAUUAGUUAGUAAAUUAUAUGAUAAAGAAAGCGUAUAUAGUCUAAAUAGGUUACUCUGUUAUAAUAAUUCAUAUUAGAUACAUAUACAUAUGUAUGUAUGUAUCCUUUUAUUCUUAUCAUAUCAAGGGAUUAGAUUUGAUGUUGGUUGUUCAAUUAUUAAAUUGAAAUUGAUAUCAUACGAAUAGAGAAACAUAUAGUAAAUGUUUAAUAAAUUUUAUCUAUGGAUUUUUUCAAAGUUUAUUGAUAUAAACGUUUGCCUUUUGUUGAAAUAUGUAUACGUUCUUCUGGUGUCCUGUGUACUUAGCUCAGAGUAUUCAAGCAAAGUAAUCUAAUUACUGUAUACAUAUUCUCUUUAUCAUAUAAAAAGAAAUAAAAUAUCUUAACUUUUUUGUGUUUUCUAAGAGAUUAGAUUUAAAUACAUGAAAGACUCAUUCUUCACAGAGGGAAAAAAGUCCUAUUCCAAUUUUAGAAAGUAACACAGAGAAAGAUUUUGUGCUCGAAAGUUAUAAAGUAUUGAUUAUCGAUUGAAUGGCGAUUGAAUUUUUCUUUAUUUUUCCGCUUAGGACGAUUUUCUUCAACUUGAUUGAACUUUUAAUAGAACAAUCAGAUAUUAGAAUGUAUUACAAUGAUAAGAUUCAAAAGUUAAGAGAACUGACAUAUUAAUCAAAUUAUCACGGAAUGUAGAUUUGUAGAUCUGAAUGUAAAUUUUGUGAGACGAUUGUUGACUAUAUGGAGUUAGAGAAUAGAAAGUGAAUGUAUUGAUGAAUAAUGCUUCUAUAGUAACUACCAGUGAGAUUGAUGUAAAAUCGAAUAACUAGAAUUGCUGCUCAGCGAACGUCCUUGAAAUUCAUCCUCUCACUCCUACUUCUAUAGAAAAUUACAUUCCUAACCUUCUCCAUCAAACAAGCGUCAUCUUAAACAUAUCAAGUUAAAAUUUAUGGUAAGCCAAUCAUUAUAAUUCCAAUACUAAAAAAAUUAACUCCAGCUAACUUCCAAGAUUAUUUCUAUUGUAUAUCCUCGAAAAGUUUUGUCAGAUAUAAAAAAGAGGUAAUAAAUAUUUUUUUAGAACUACAGAAUGAUGCAGAAGUUCCAAAUAUGUUUUAUGAUGCCCAUAAAAUUUUAUCACAAUUUUUCUCUUGUUACUUUCAAUAGUCUCUUUUGAAUAAAAGAAAAUAUAUUAAAAAUUAUAUACUUAUAAAAAAGAAAAAUCAUGAUAAGAACUGCGUUACUUUUGCAUUACCUUAUACAUCAAAUAUAAUUCUCAUCAAAUUGAAAUUGAUAAUCUACCCUUGAAAAUUCCCUCUUAUUAAAAUAUUCGAGAUUAAUUACUAAUUGCAGUCUUAUCGCAGUGUUACCAACCUAUGUAACGCACGUUACAGAUUACAAAAUGUACGAGACGAUGCAGAGAAUGACAUGUUAUCUGGAGUUAUUCAAUAGAGAGGGCAGGUGUCUUCUACUGGUCGAACCGCUCAAGUACAUGGGAGUAGAAUGGUUAUGGGUGCUGUGUAAUCAUCAGCUCGCCGUGUAUCCGGGCAUUGAAUUCGAGGAUUCUCCCCGACCUCUUCAGAUCCCCUCCUCAUUGUACGCUGCUUUGGUUACUUGUCUUUCGCAAGAUGAAUGGCCAGGACCGUGUACAUCCAAUCACCAGGGAGAAACGAUCAAACCUGUAAUCGAUUCUGUAGAGAUAACACUUGAUUUUGUAAUCCUUUAUUACGAGAUAAUUUUGUUUAUUACAUAAAGCUAGGUAUCUAGGAAAUUUCGGAGAAUUAGUAAUUCUGUGAAAUUAAUAGCUGAUUUUUUUAAUUUUUACUACAUGAUAUUUUUCUUUUUUAUCAUAGAAAAACUGGAUGUCAAUGAAACUUUAGAAAUUUGAGUGAUUGAAAAUUUAUUGAUUUUGGAGAAUUUAAGAUCAUAAAAGUAACAAUUGAUUUAUCUUACAAAUUGCCUUUAUAUUAUAAAAGUAGGAUACUUAAAAAAUUCUUUAAAUUUAUGGCAAUUUACAAAUAAGAUCGGUUUAUGUUAGCAUAAAAUAUCGAUCUAUAAUAUGGUUAUAGCAGGUCAAUUUACAUACUUCUUUAUUAAGGAGAUCAAUAAAAUGGGGGAUUUACGAGAGUUUUGAAACAAGGCAUCGAUAGCUACCUUGGUCCGUGAUGUGGGACAGAACAGGAAGAAACGACAAUGACGUCUAUAGAUGUGACGCCAAUUCGUUUCUUGGCAAUGUACAGAAACACAUAAUCUUGAUUGUAUCUAGUCUUUAUAGCCGUUUGGUAUAAACUCAUUCCCAUUUUAUUGCAUUUAUGUCCUUACUAUCGAUUUGAAAAUCAAUCUUUUUCUUUAUUUUAAUAAUUCUCUAUAUAUACAAAUAAUUUCUAUAAUCUUAAAUAAAUGAAGAAAUAAUUAUACAAAUAGCUGAGAGUUCCUAAGGUUUUUGAUGGCAUAUUCAUGCGUAGGAAAUCAUUUGGUUUACAUGUACAGACAUUGAAACACAAGUACUUACGUAUGUAUAUACGAGACACAGCAAGUACACGUACCUAAUCGGAUUUUUCUGCGUGGUACCGGUGAAAGGGAAAAGAUACCGGCGCGGUGCGGUAGUCUGGCAGGCCUAGAUACCCAAGAUCUGUCUGUCCUCUCAUUUAUAUUCAGCAAAGUUCACGUUAUUUUAAGAUUUUCAUCUUCCAUAGAAUGUUUGCUUUCCUUCUCAUUUUGUUUAUUUGUAGGUUACUACCAUGGUACUACAUGUUGUAGCAAAUUGUAAAAUAUCAAUGAAGAGAAAGCUAUAGUUAUUCUUUGUUUAUCUGUAAUGGAGAUCAAGACAAAAACUUCCACCUAGUAAUUGAUCAUUAAAGUUGUCAAAAUACUAUACAAACAUAACAUUGAUACAUAAUAAUUAUUAUUAUGGUAUAUAUGGGAUAUUAUGGUAAUACCAUAAUAAUCAACAUAUAAAUCAACAUAUAACAAAGAAGAUUCUAUAGAAAAGCAAAUAAACAUCGCCCCCAGGAAAAAGAUAAAGCUACUCGAUCUCAAACUCUUUACACACUCAAACAACGUAAUAUCGUAACAAUUAAGUGACAAUAAAGAAGAUUAGAUUCCAUUGUUAAACGUCGUGUCUGGCAAAACACAUGUACUACGUGACGAACUGAUAUUAGUCAAACGCACAAGAAUUUAGAAAGUAACGGGUCACUUACGAGCCUCAAUUACUCUCAACAUCGAACGAUACGUUUGCAAAACGUUUUAAUAUUUCAAAGUACCGAGGGAAGGUCUCAGCUUAGAAAGUAUACGAUUUUUAUCUCACGGAUGAAUAAUAUUCCGACCAGGGAGCAUCGAUUCACCUGAGGGUGAUAAAACGAAUCGUAAAUUUCUCUUACUUUCACUCUCGUUCGUUUACAUUGUUACGGAUAAUCGAUCGAAUGUAGUUUGCUGAUUAGAACGGAUUACCAGGUAUCCUUGCGAGAUUAACCUAACAAUGAUAAAGCUUCCCUUCGUCAGUUUGGAUUUCAUACUUUAUCUUCAUUUUGUCUUCUUCGUCCAUUCUUUGUUUCCAUUUUAUUGAUUUUUAGAUUGUUUUUAUCAAAUUUCUUUUCCUUUUCAUUUUUAUUUAUAUUUUUUCUCCCGAUAUCUUUUAUACUUUUUAGUAUUUUUAGUUUCAUUGCUAUAUCUCUCAAUUUCUCUGUCAACUUUGUUUUCUUUUACUGUGUUCAUUAUAUUCGUUCCCUUCCUUUUGACUUUCUACGUAUAUCAUAUCUAUAUUAUAGGGAAUCGAUUUCUUUUUCUUACAUAUAAAACAAUUCACUAAACGCUGUUAACAGAUCUCGCUCUUAUGAAAUUGCUGAUGUUUCUAACCAAUGACUCUAGUUAUCUCUUUCUAUCAUUAUACAAUUUAAUCUCUCCUAAGUUUUGCUACAUCGAACUUAAUUUUACUUUUUAAUACAUUUCCACAAAUUCUAAAUAAAAAAAGACAACCAUAUCUCAUGUCCUUUAUCAACCAGUUUUACUCUUUUCCCAGCGAGAGGGGCCCUCAAUAAAACUCCUAAUUAAUGAACUUUGUAACCAACAAAAAUAACCCGAAAGUCUAUAUCAUUUUUCUUCAUUAUCUCCAACAAGCUUCUAGCGAAACCGAAAGCGAAAAGCUAGGAUUAAAAGGAAAAAAGGAAGUCGUAUCGUGCAAGCUAAUUUUGGUGAACGUGUUUCCGCGAUGGCACACGGAAACAACCUGAGGCAACCAGCCCAUCAAACUAACCGCCUUUCUUCCUCCUGGUACUAGAAAGCUUCCAUGGAAUUACACAAAAUUACAAUCGGACGUCAAGCUUGGCCUUUUCUAUUCCUAUCCCAUUCUUCGCCCGUAUUGCGUUACAUCUGGAGGAUACACGAAGUCCUAGAAACGAUGGAUUACCAUCAUGAAUCUAAUUGAUUGCGAAGACAAUGGAUUUUUCUAUCUGUGACAACAUUGCCUCCACUUUGGGGAUCGUCGUAGGUGAAAGCGAGACAAAUUCCUCCACUGUGCCCAGCCCCCUACUGCUCUUUCUCUGUAAUUACUUUAAUAAUCCACCUUCGUAUCAACCUUAUUUCCAAUGUCCUAGGAACUCCUUUCCCUGGCCACACAGCUUAGGUUGUUUCUUAAGUUUGUCUGGACGAUAGAUGUGACAUCAUAUUAUUGAUAAAAUAUAAGAUUAAGUGCGAAAUUGCAAUUUUGUUUUACAUUUUACUUAAGAAGUUUAACUGUCAAUACAUAAUCUUCAAAAGGAAAGGACAUUUCCAUGUUUCAUUUUCUGCAGACAUUCCCACGACAAUAUCCAUCAUCUUUUCAUCCAUUCAUAUUCUCUCAAACAUUUCAAGUAUUCCAUCAUUGUUCAUUCAAUUACGAUUGCACCAUAGAGACUCGUUUCUGCAAACACUUAACGCAACAUGAUCUUUUAAGAGUGAUGACAAUAUUUUACAAAUGGUGUUUGAUGCUUUUCACAGAACUUCCAUUUUCUAUAUUACUAACAACCUUGGUUGGAAGCCCCCAAAAAGAAAAAAAAAUACAAUUUGCGACUACCUUUAGGAAACAAUAAAAUUACGGGUAUCUACCGCUGGAAGAAGUUGUUAUAAAAAAAUGAAACGACCUGUUUAUGUUCUUAAUUAAUAGUUGUAUGUAUCAUUAAAUUUUCAGUACUGUAAUACCGUAGAAUAGUUCCAGUAAUUUUUGCGUCGUCUAAUUUAAUAGUUAAUUAAAUUCUUUGAUCAUUAAAUUUGGAUUUUUUAAGUGGUUGAUUUUGAGAAAGAAAGAUUUUUAAAAGUCAAGUUACUAAUUACAAAAAGUUUAAGUUGAAAUUCUUUUAAAAUUAGGCUACAAAUUCAAAAAGUUUGAAAUGUAAAUUUAAGAAAUUUCUAGGUUUCCUUGUAGAGUAUAAUUUAUAAGCAGAGAACUUGAUGUCCGACCAUGUGACCACAAGCAAACCUAUUCUACUUGUCCCAACUGAAUUCCUAGAGUUUCAUUUCUAAAUUCAAAAACAAAUCAUAAAAUCAUAAAAUGUGAAAAUAGUAAGAAAUUGUGUAACAAGUUUUGUCAAAAAUAUUUUAAAGACAUUAUAUUUAAAAAAUAUAUUAUAUAAUAAAACUUAGAAAUAUUGUAUACAUGUACAUAGAUAGCAUUUGAUAUUACUCUACGUUCAAAAAUUGCACGCUACUGUGCCACAUUCCAAUUAAACUGUAUUAAAAGCUAUAUAACGAAGAGAGAGACGACGAGAAUUGUUUAAUUUAGGUAAUAACGAAGUAUAGCUCGAAAAGUUAUGGCAUGCAAGAAUGUUAACCUCUUCAACUAAAAUUACAGACUACUUCAUUAUUGUUUUCGUGAUUACACUAACGUCGACGAACUCUACCGUUGAACUGCGCUGAUUGCACUUGAUUGUCUCGAAUGAAUAUUAUCUUCGUGUAUCAACUCGUUUUAAACGAUUAAAGUUUGAAUUGACAACUAUGUACCUUAAGUGAAGCGCGUUACACGCAUUCAUCGCCUUACCACGAACGGAAGAGGCAAUUACGUUAAUUAGCUUUCAUGGUGCAUUUUUAACGCGUGUUACAACGCCAUCUUGGUAAAAAAAGGCCAGGUAAAUCUGUCUUGCUUCUCUGGAUAAAAUACUACUCUUUAGAAAAAAAUGUAUGACUUAAUUGCUUGAUAAUUAUUUACGAAACGACUUAACUCUCUGAGGUUAAUGAUCUUGAGAUACACUGUCAAGGUCACGGAUAAUUUUUUACAUAACCAUUACUAAAGCCUAAUUUCAAAGAUAUGGAAAAUAUUUUGAAAUAAGUUAAAUUUAGAUCAAACAAUUAAUAUUAUAUUAAUAUGCGAUCAUUACAUAGCAUUAUAAUAUGAUGUUAUGUUUGACCUCGAUCAAUGAAUCGGUAAAUCGUAAAGGAUGAGAUUGUAAUUACCUUGUUCCAGAUACUAAUUGCUGUAAUAAAAUAUUUCCAUUUGCUUUAUUUGACUUUAAAGAUUGAGUUUCUAUACAUUAUCGUUUUUUAUUACCUCAGUGAUUUGUUGUUUUCUAUAAAAAUGUGUAGUUGAUAUGGUUCAAUUCUCUGAAGAAUAAAAAUGGAAAAAGCAGAAUGAGUCAUAGUGAAAGAUACUUUCUAAAACUGAUGCUUCCCAAUUACAAUCCGCCAUUAAAAAUUUUCGUGUUGCCUUUAACUUAUAUGAUUGGUUAGGAAGAACAAGAUCUAUCAUAUUUUAGAAUCUCUGUUAACCUGAAAAUAAAAAACUAGUAUCGGAACUUCUUCCCUUAACUCAUUUAUUAUCUAAUAAAAUACUUAUUAACCAAAAAACGACAUCGCAGGAUAACAAAAUAUCUCUGUGAAUAGGUAUAUAAAAUUCACACAAAUUGUUCAGCCUUAAAAAGUAUUUUACGUAACUUGUGCAGUUCUCGAAGCCGCAAAAAACUUUCACCGCAUUGAAACACGACCAUAAGCACAAAAAAGGAGCAUGACCAGGAUCCAUAUUUACAUAUCUUCUGGAUUUUUCAAUUUUUCGAACAUCUUAAAUUCUGUCUUUGUAGGCGUAUAUUUAUUUGUGUGUUAAAUUAUAAAAAAAAAGAUGAAGUUCCUUUUUACUUUGCCAUUUUCACGAUUCGGACACACUGAACAGAAUGAAUUAGUUACCACCAUCGUCGUAUGUUGGUUCUGGAGAUUCGUAGGCGUACAAAUUGAAUAGCGACAGGUAAGCUAAGAGCAGGAGAAAGAAUCAGGAAGAGAGAAGAUCGGCACGCGUACAAGGUGAGGUCAACGCGCCGCGCCGUGGAUGAGCAAUGAACUUGACCGGAAGUGGGUCAGGGACAGUCAGGGUAAACCUUCCUCGAGCUCGAUAAGCAUCCUUCGUAGCGCCGCAUCGCGAUCCUUCUAGUAUGACCAAUGAUUGGGUUUACGAAUAGGUGACGAACUGGGUUUAUGUAGUAAUGAAGAACUGUACAUUAGCCUGAAAGUGUUAUGUGUUUUAAUAAAUAUUUUCUAAUGUGAAAAUAGAAACUUCUAUUGAAAAUAUCAUAGAUAUUCUAUGAGAUAUGAUAUGAGAUAUGAUAAAAUAAGUGAACAAAUAGUGGGAGUACUUAGGUAUUGAAGAGGUUUAAUCGGGCUACUGCUAGUGUUGCAUAGUUAAGUUUUAUUUAUCAUAUAUCCUUAUAGAUUAUUUAAUCAAUAACUGAAAUUAAUAUUUACGUAAACAAGCUGAAUUUAACGUAACUUCGUUGAUAUCUAUUUCCACCAUCUGUCCAUUUAGUUUUGUGUGCGACUAUAUCUUGAUUAUUUAGAUGCAUGAGAUAUUUGGAUAUAACACUUGCAUAUUUUAGAUACUUCAACUACUAGUGACUAACAUACAGUAUAUAUUUAGUAACCUUGAGUACCUCAAAUAAUUUAGCUACUUUAUCUAGAUAUGUGUUACGAAACAGUUUCAAAUACCCCAAAAGCAUCAUGAAUCUUUAAUAUUUAAGGUAUAAAGUAUUUGUUACCUCGACACGAAUUAUGGAGUUGUUCCAUAUAACGACAUAGUAACAAAUAUUUAAUCCAUCUUCAUUAUUCAUACAUAAGAAACUUCUAUACAUACAAUCCGUUCCUUAAAACAAAGUAUCUUGCAUAAUUACAGUAGUGCAGUUUGUACGCAAUAAUCAAAUAUGUGAUAGAAUAUAAGUAAAAUCCAUACAAUUAUUAAUAAACACAAUGUAGCCAUAAUCAGAUUUCUUCGUAUCAUAUUUUAUCGGCAGAUUAUCCUACUCGAGCAACAGAAAACUUUUUGGAAAUUUCAGUCAAACUACAAUAAAAUGUAGGUUAGGUCAUACAACACAAUAAUUUCUUUUCUGAUGACUAGAGUAUACAAAUCUACUUUUAUUGAAUAAUUAAGCUUUGAGGAUAAAUACUACAUACUAUAAUACUAAUAUACAUAACAUAUGUACUAGUUUAUUGUAUCUCACAUAUUUAUCUAUAAAGAAACGUUUUUUCUUCAUAUGUACGUAGAUUAAUAUUAUAACUACCAAAAUUUUUGAUAAUAUUAAAGUUUACUGUUAUUGGUACAGGAACUUGAUUAUAUAUAUGCUUAUAUGUUAUCAACAUAUUGCUGUAAUAUUAAUUAACUAUGUAUAACAUAUUUAGGUACACAUUAUAGUUUGGCAGUUCUAGCGUUACAACACAAACACACGCUCUAGCGUUCAAAAUAAAAAAUACACACCCCGUGAGAAACUCAGACGGAAUUUCAGCUACGAUAAAGGUCAGUCGCGUAACAAUGCUAAACUCUAACUUCCUUGUAUGGAAUCGAUUCGACUGUUACACCCUUUCUCAGCAAAAUUUGCUUGGGUAACGAAAUUCGUCUGAUGUUCAUCGAAAAGUGGAUCACAUAACGUGAAACCUUCGACUUGGAAUUUUAAUUCGUAUUGCGUCACGCGCUCGUUGCGCGUGUAAUUGAAAUAUGCGGGCAAAUAACAAUUACGGAAAUGGAGAACAAUAGUAUGGACUAACGAAGAACUGUGAGAUUUUACUUACGUUUGACCUUUUUUAAUAGUUUGUAUUCCUAUUAUUAUUUUGUUAUAGUAGCAGUACAGAUAUUUUAGUUAUUUUUCAAUUCUUUUAUUGCCGUUCCUAAUUGUUAUUUACAACUCUUCACAUCUAUUUCUAAAUAUCUGCAAUAUAUUUAUAAGAUUAUUGGAUGAAAAUAUAAUCCUUUGGAAUAUAAAAGAUAUAGAUUAAGGUCACAUAUAUUUUCUUAAGGGGGAAGUAUGGAAGAUAAGAGAAUUUGUUAGAUCUCUAAAUAGCCUUCUAAUCUAAAUAUUCUAAGACGACUACUUAACCUAAUUGUUGUAAUUUUUCUUCAACAAAGAAAAGAAAUCCAAGUAAUGGUGAACAUUGUUAGGCAAUUUGUUAGUAUAGAAACUCGUUUUUACGAAUGUUGUUUUUAAACACGAUUAACGUAUAAUUUAUUCUCGGUCUUGACGAAGCUGUAGGCAGAAGAAAACUGAACGGAUUCUUGUUCAAUUACCAUUCCAUUACAUAGGGUUAUCCUGUUUGCGGAAAGUUCGUUCUUCGCGAAGAAUCUCGAGCAUCUGAUCGAGCUUUUAUGAUUUCUGUCGCAGGCUGAUUCAUGGUUUUCAUUAAACUUUUGUUUGCGAUGAGUUUCCAAUAUCUAGGAUGAUUUUUGCAAACGGACAACCCAAUCAAAAGAGGAUAUUGUCUUUCUUUAUCAAAAGAUUAACUUUGAUUUAACUAAAAAUUCAUAAAAAAUCUAUGAAAAAUUUGUUUAAUAAUAAAUAUAUCAUUGAUAAUAAUAAAAAGAGCUAAUAAAAAUGUUAUUAUAUAUAAAUGAAAAUUGUAUUUAAAAAUAUAUGAAUGAGAAAGAUUUGAAAAAAUGAUUUUUGUAGUUAGGCGUGUUUGCUUACUUAAGUACACAAAUACUGGGAUAGGUUACACUUAAUAAUAGAUAAAAAUUUCUCAUGGGAAAGAUCUUGACCCGUAUAAGUCGACAUUUCACGAUACAGAUAGUUACGAGAUUAGACUUAUAUCUAGGAGUAAAAUUGCAUUGCCAAUUGCACAAUUCUUUUACAUUCUUUUAGUAUCUUUAUAACACUAUGUUGUAAAUUAUGAGAGAUAGCAUUAUUUAUAAAUAUAGUACUUAAUGUUACAAUGUUACUAUUGUUCAAAAUUACUUGAAUAGUUUAACUCUAUUCAAAAUAAAAAAUAUUUUUACGUAUAAAUAUAAAAUUAAAACGUAGUGUUUAAUUAAAAACUAAAUUUGAAAUACAAAUAAUAAAUUAAAUCUAUUAAAACAUUAAUCUUGAUAAAAUAAAAUACCAUAAAAUAAACGAUCCUGUGAUUACUUGAAUCAGGUAUCAAAUAAUAUUUUGUUGAGCAUAAAUAGAAAUUGCAUUAAAGUUCUACUCACGAGACUAUUACGGUGCAUUCAAAACAUAAUUCAUCGUUCCCUGAAUGGCCUAAUACACAUGUAAUAAAACAUUCGCAUGUCAGUCACGUUCCAUGACAUUGAAUAAUAUUUGAUUAUACCGUGACAGAUUCGUAAGCAUAUGAUGACCAUGUCAUCGGCGUUUGUUGAAUAUUUAAUGACAUUGCAUUAUAAUUUAACAUAUUACUGUUCAACAUUGUAAAUUUUGGAAACUUUCAAAUUUCAAUUGAUUUCUCUUUUACAAUUCUCUUAUCGAUAUUACUAUUUUAUUUCCUUCCUUAUAAUUCCAAGUCUUCCUUUUGUUAACGAAAAAUAUCUCAUUUAAUUUCUACCACUGAAAAAAUUCAAAUUUUGAGAUCUAAAUUGAAUGUAUAGAUUGAAUUUUUAACGUUAGCUAAUCAACUAUUAACUAAUUUGUAAAAAAUGAGAAAUAAAAUUGAUCUACAAUCUUCAACGAUGUUAGAUAACGUGAACAAUGCUGUGAAAAUUACAACAUAAAAUUACCUUAUAAUCACUCUUUCAAAAGAAUGAUACCAUCAUUUUAUGUUUCAUUUCACUUUACAUCAAUUUAUCAAAAAGAAACAAUUCACUAUAAGCUACAUUAAUGGGGAGUAGAUGAAAAAUAAGUUAUUCGUGGAAACCUACCACCUUGAUGCUAUUUUUCAUUUUACCUUCCAUCAAUUUCUGGGAACGAGCUUCUGUUGUUGAAAUUUCACACUCAUAAAUCCUAAUCAAGAGAACGUUAAAAGACUGCUUUAUAAAAAUCCAAUAGAACAAAGGAACUCCACAGAACUAAACACUAACGACUUUCUCAUAUCACCAAUGUGCUAUCUCUGUUGCAACUUAGUGGUGGCCACUAAUUCGCCUUAUCUGGCCUUCCAGCUCGUUGUUACCGAAACGUCAAUCGGAUCGAGGUCACGGCCAGUGGAGAAAGUUUUCUAAUCACUUCCGUGGAAUGGUCCUCGAAUGAGUUCGUCCGCUGAAACGUGUAAAAAUAUCUAUGGUUCUGUUCUCGUGUGUUUAUCCAUACGUAUGUAUAAAGAUAAAUAAGAAUCGGUGCAAUGGAAUCUUACUUUCACAUUCACAUUUCUGUUGAAUCAAACCCACUUCUCUUUGUAGAGGUUAUGGGAAUCAUAAGAACUCUCCAAUCUCUUCAAUCCUAGCAAUGCAUGAGCAAUCGAAUAGCAAAGUACCCAAUUUUUAUAUUUAUUUUAACAAUUUUUGUAUUUCAUACAAAAUAUUAUACGAUCUCUUUGGAUACCGUAUUAAUUUUAAUUUUUUUCAUAGUAUAUUAAUAUAUACAAAAAUGUCCAAUAUUAAAGCUUCAGAUUUAUUGCUAGUUACACACUUAUUGAGUAAUCACCAAUUUGGCUGCCUACAAGUUGAGGUUAAUGGGUUAAAAGGGUAUAAGGAUCAAAAGUGUCUUUCUUGAUAUCGGAAAUUUCGGGUAGAUGUUCCUAAAAAAUAGGAAAAUUUAUUGGAAACAGAAAACUUCUGUAUAGAGAGAAAGUGGUAAUAGGAUUAAAUAAUAAUUCUUAAUUGAAAUGAAUUAAAUUUGAGACUUACUUUGAUGCAAAGUAAAAUUCCAUAAUAAGGUUGUGUAAUGAGAAUUUUUAUGAGACUGUUAAUAUUUUAUUAAUUAAACUGACACAGAAUGUGUUUGUUAAUUAUUAGGAAUUAGCAUUGAUAAAAAAGUUGAUUUCUCCUAUAACUGACAAUUUAUAAAGUUAUUAAAGUUAUAAAGUUAUUAUUAUGAAUAAAUAAAAGAAGUUUCUAUAUGAAUUCACUAUUAUACAUUUGCACGCAGAUGAAGCUCCAAAAAUCAUUUUCUAUACAAAUAUGAAGUAUAUAUGUAUAGCAAAAAUGAAAUGGUAUACUAAACGUAAAAAAGAAGAUCAAAGAACAAAGGGACUAUUGCAUACUUACACUCAAUUUAAUAUUAAAUUUCCUCCACUUUAAUAUUAUAUUUACAUAUUAUAAAAAAAAUCUUUAUCCAAAAUUGUUGUCCAUUAAUUGAUAAUAAUAUUAUCAAUCUUUUCCUGACAAUUUACUCUCUACUAUACUGCAAUAAUUCUUUGGUAUCAAAUAUUCUCUACAGAAGUUACAAAAAAUCAAAGUAAUCGACCAGCUCGCAGGAACAGAAUUACAAGAAUGCGACUAGACGAGACAGACGUGUUACUGGAGAGCAAACAAUUUAGAAAAUCACGAUUACCAGGUCAGGAGGAAUGAUGGAAAGAGAUAGAGAACGAUUUGUCGCGACGUAUCCGUUGAAUCCGGCUCGUGGAAUCGUGAAAACUGGACGUACUCAUAACUUUCUAUUGGUAUAUGAAAAUUUCAGCCGGGCGAACAUGGCCACCAGGCCCACAGCAUAAAAAAAAAGCGAAUUCAGGUUCUCACAAGUUGCAAAAUAUCUCUUCCUGUCGUGAAAGUUUCUUUCUAUCCAUGAUCCACUGCUUGUUUAAAAUACUGUUACGGUGACAAAAUGUGACAUUUGUCUUUUUCGCUUUAUUAUCGUUUUAUUCACUUAGAAAUUGAACGUAUAGGUGGAAAAGUUACUAUAUAAUUUAGUUGAUAUAUGAAAAUUAUAAUGUAUACCUGUUAUGUGAUUUUUUGGAUGGUGGAAUUGGUUUCAAAGUGUCUGGUUAGAGGAAAAGUGGUUGUUGGCAGCUAUGCAAUAUGUUUUGACUUUUUUGAUGAUGAUGACACUGCAAAAAUUUUUUUGUAGUACGUUUUUCAUGUUCUUUAUCCUCUUUUUAUUUAAUGUAAUAUUUUAACCUAUGUUUUCUAGCUAAAAUAAUAGUCUUCAAUAAAUUGAAGAAAUAUCUUUAUACAAAAAUCAUGUUCCAAUACAUAAAUCAAUUUAUUAUAAGACUUUUAUAUUGGAAAGAAAAAAGAAGUACUUAAAUUAAUAACAGAAAUUACAGAUUUUUUUAUUUUCUCAUUUCAAAUUAGAAGUAAGAAAAUAUGUACAUAUUAAUGCAGAAUAUGGUAUUUCAUUAAAUAAAUUAAUUUAUCAUAGGAAUUAAAUUCCAUCUAUUCUAGUCAUUUAAUACUUUCCGAGGAGAAAUAUCUGUACUUAGACAGCUGGAUCGAUGCUUCCUCAAUGAGAUCCAAAUCACCGAGUCAAUCUCGACCUCGACUUUCACCCUCGCGCAAGGUCUAGGACACUCAGGUAACACGGAUCUUCUUCCUAUGAAUGAAGAAUCCUUCGUGGUCAUCAAGAAACUGGUUUGAAAUGUGUCUUUAAAGUUUCUUAAAUAAUAGUCGCUUCCUCAAUGUCAAGAGAGGCAUUAAGGAAUUGAGAUAUUCAUACAAGUAACUAUUCUUAUUAUUUUGUUACAAAAUAAAUAUUUCAAUAUUUUAGCAUAGAAAUUAUAAAAGCACUUGGAUCAAUUAAGUAAGUAUUUCUAUAAGAUAAUCUUUUUAAUAAAAAAAACAACUGUAAUAGAUAUAAAGUAUCAUUUCUUUUGAAAAUAUAAUUAAUACAUUAAUAAUUGCUGCUGAAAUAAUUAAUAAGUACUGUAAUGAUCUAAUUGGUUGCUAUUUUCCUCUACAAAUCGAAAGGAGUUUUUCCUUUUUAAUAGUGACAGCCUGCUUAUUCUUUUCUGUUCUAUUAACAAAAAACCAACAAAUUGGGUCAAAUCCUGUUAGUUUUAUACUCGGACGAUCGUAACAAAGGAAAUUGUGUUAGCGGAGUGCGUCAUACUGUACCGAAGGAAUUCUCGAAGAGAGGGACGAAAAAUGGAAAUAUGCCGUUCUUUACUGACGGCUCAACGAACCGGCUUAUCGCAUAUUUGUAUAUACCAAAAAUUGCUCAAAUUAGCAUAAAAAGAAAUGUAGUUCUCUCAAUGGCAUGUCGGUAGAGAAAUGAUAGAUGUAAUUGAAAAAUAACUUUCCAAAAAAUGUUCUACUGUAUUUUUGAAAUUUACUUACAAGAUCAAAGAAAAGAGAUUGUGAUUUGUAAAGGAAAUAUAUUGAAAAAUCGUUUUA